rnacentral:tRNA from 1 species
GCCGGGAUGGCGAAAUUGGCAGACGCGCUACGUUCAGGUCGUAGUGCCCGCAAGGGCAUGCAGGUUCAAGUCCUGUUCCCGGCA